GCCCAGACUCCUACGGGAGGCUGCAGUCGAGAAUCUUCGGCAAUGGGCGCAAGCCUGACCGAGCGACGCCGCGUGGAGGAUGAAGGCCUUCGGGUUGUAAACUCCUGUCGAGGGGGAGGAAGGGGUAACCUUGACCUAUCCCUGGAGGAAGCACGGGCUAAGUUCGUGCCAGCAGCCGCGGUAAGACGAACCGUGCGAACGUUAUUCGGAAUCACUGGGCUUAAAGCGCGUGUAGGCGGAUGGGGACGUCGGUUGCUGAAAUCCCCCGGCUCAACCGGGGAACGGGCGCCGAAACGCCCCGUCUGGAGGGACGUAGGGGGACCUGGAACUUCCGGUGGAGCGGUGAAAUGCGUUGAGAUCGGAAGGAACGCCCGUGGCGAAAGCGAGGUCCUGGACGUCUUCUGACGCUGAGACGCGAAAGCUAGGGGAGCAAACGGGAUUAGAUACCCCGGUAGUCCUAGCCGUAAACGAUGGGCACUGGGUAGGGGGCUCGCCGAUGGGCUCUCUGCCGUAGCGAAAGCGUGAAGUGCCCCGCCUGGGGAGUAUGGUCGCAAGGCUG
rnacentral:rRNA from 1 species